AAACAUUUUUCCUCUUGUUUAAUUGAUAGCUCUUAUUUUCCCCCAAAUCACCCUCUCUCAUUUUCCCCCAAAUCGACCCUCUCUCUCAUUUCCCCCCAAAUUGACUCUGGUCGGCCGGCCAUUGCUACUCGGGCCGGCCAUUACACUAGGUGUUGCAAUUGAACACUCGGAAGUGGUGGAAAAUGAUGAUGCAGUGUUUUCAGUCUUCAAGAUGUUCUGUAAGAGACGUCCACCGUUGGAACCGAGCAAGGGGAAAAAGAAUAUGAUAAGUUAGUGUGCCUCCUGCUAAGUCGAUACAUUUGACAUUAUUAAUAUAUGAGAACAGGAGGUCCACUGUACAUAAUUCAAGUGCUCUUUUUGACCUGCGUUACUUUGUUGUGCUCCUUUGCAACAUUCUCAUGUGAAUCAGCCAUGGCUCUGUGUCAACGUGUUCCUUAGUCAACUCUUACUUAGCCCCAUCCUUUGCCACCUCAUGAAACUUCAAAAGCAGUACACCUGCAUUCCAGAUGAACACUAUGUGCAGACAUUGUUGGUGAUGCAUGAUUUUGAAGGAGAACUUGAAAGUAGAACAAUAACCUAUACAAAGUGGAAUGAAUCUGUGACAAAUAUAGAGAAAAAGGUUGGCAUCCCAUAACAUUUAACUAUGUAGAUGCUGCCCCUGUACAGAUCAAGAGAAUAAAGCCAAGUGAUGCGGCUAGUGGACCCAUUUCACCCAUGGAUGCAAGGAGAUCACGUGAUGAUAGUGAUCCUAAUGACAUUCGUUGAUUUCGUUGCAAAUUGUCUGGGAUAUUCAAUUAUGAUGAUGUAAUUGUGCGGUUGGAGUGAAUCUUGGAAUAUUGAAGGUUUUGUGUUUAGAUUUGAUUUUAGAGUUUGAAGAUACUAGUUAAUGUUGAAAAAUUGGAGUUUGAAGAUGUUAAUGUUGAAAAUUUAAUUUUGAAGUUUAA